AGCGAACGCUGGCGGCAGGACUUAACACAUGCAAGUCGGAACGGGCGUAGCAAUACGUCAGCGGCAGACGGGUGAGUAACACGUGGGAACGUGCCCUUCGGUUCGGAAUAACUCAGGGAAACUUGAGCUAAUACCGGAUACGCCCUUUGGGGGAAAGGUUUACUGCCGAAGGAUCGGCCCGCGUCUGAUUAGUCUAGUUGGGUGGGGUAAUGGCCUACCAAGGCGACGAUCAGUAGCUGGUCUGAGAGGAUGAUCAGCCACACUGGGACUGGGACACGGCCCAGACUCCUACGGGAGGCAGCAGUGGGGAAUUGUUCGCAAUGGGCGCAAGCCUGACGACGCAACGCCGGCGUGGAGGAUGAAGACC
rnacentral:rRNA from 1 species